rnacentral:lncRNA from 1 species
ACUCCUAAAGGGGUCAACUGACCAUUUCAGUCACGUUGACUUAUUUGUAAAUCUUACUUUGCUGAACAUUAUUGCUGUUUACAGUUUAUCUCUAUCUAUAAUAAUAUUCAAGAUAAUAACCAAAAACAGUAAAAUUUCCUUAAAAUUAUCAUUUUAGGGGAAGCAACCCAACAACUGGUUGUCCGAUUCAUCUGAAAAUUUCAGGGCAGAUAGAUCUUGACCUGAUAAACAAUUUAACCCAUUGUCAGAUUUGCUCUAAAUGCUUUGGUUUUUGAGUUAUAAGCCAAAAACUGCAUUUUAUCCCUUUGUUCUAUUUUUAGCCAUGGCGGCCAUCUUGGUUGGUUGGCCGGGUCACCGGACACAUUUUUUAAACUAAAUACCCAAAUGAUGAUUGUGGCCAAGUUUGGUUUAAUUUGGCCCAGCAGUUUCAGGGGAGAAGAUUUUUGUAAAAGUUAACGAUGACGGAC